CAGAAUAUAAAAGCCAACUGAAAAUGUAGCUGAAUUCUCUGCGAUCACUUGGCCUAAUAAUGAUUUUGACCCUUUAGUGUUAGCACAUUUUAGAGAAUAUGGCAAGCCAUUUUAACAUUUAUUCGCUAUACUUGACUAUCCGGAAUUAACAUGACAUAUAUCAACAACGUAAUUUUGACUAGUCUUAAUUGCAUUGUGACUAGUCAGAAUUUUUAUUCAAGAUAUCUGUCACGUUCAUACUAUAGUCAAAACUACAGUUAAUAUCAGUAACGUCAUUCUGACUAGUCAAAACUACAGUUAAAGAUAUCUGUUAUUCAGUCUUGACAAAUCAAAAGUGGUUCUGGGACAGUAACGUACCUGGCUAACCAGCUAUUGAAGCUAGUUAACACUACUACGAGCCCCGUGUCAUCAUUUCUGGACAAGGAAUCUCAGGCUGAGCUCAGUGAAAAAGUGUUCCACUCGCUGGGACAGAAAUAAAUACUCAAGUCGAGUUUGAGUAUUCAAGGUGCAGUUCUGGGUCCCAACAACAAAGGAAGGUGAAGAUAGAAUUGAUGACCACUCAGACUCAUUUCUGACAACGAGGAAGAGUAAAGCUUCCAUUUUUGCUUGUGUUAUUGUAUUUUGAGGGUUGGAUAAUAUUUAUUCUUGUUUUAUCAGUUUAUUUAAAAAAAAACAUGAUUUUUCACAAUUUCUCACCAUUAGAAGAACCCAAUGAAGAGUAAGGCAUUAAUAUUGGCUUAUUUUCUUAUAUUAAAUUUAUUUUUGAAAAAUGGCCAGUUUGAUACCAUUUCUUAUGUGAUCAAUUGAUAGUUGGAUUUCAAUUUCAGUGAUUCGAGAAGGAUAUAACUAUUAGUGGAAAAAGUAAUUGUUUAGCCUGGUUAUUGCCAUUUAAGACCUGCAAUUUAAUUAUAGUGAACUAGGUGGGAUUUCCUAUUUCAUCCUUCCUGUUUGUUUUGUCCCACACAGUUCUGAUUUUAAUUUCUGUACCGUUGACCAACUUGGAAGAGUGUGA